rnacentral:hammerhead_ribozyme from 1 species
AUGCAGCUGAAGAAUCCCAAAUAGGACGAAACGCGCAUCCUGUAU